GAUGAACGCUGGCGGCGUGCCUAAUACAUGCAAGUCGAGCGAAUGGAUUAAGAGCUUGCUCUUAUGAAGUUAGCGGCGGACGGGUGAGUAACACGUGGGUAACCUGCCCAUAAGACUGGGAUAACUCCGGGAAACCGGGACUAAUACCGGAUAACAUUUUGAACCGCAUGGUUCGAAAUUGAAAGGCGGCUUCGGCUGUCACUUAUGGAUGGACCCGCGUCGCAUUAGCUAGUUGGUGAGGUAACGGCUCACCAAGGCAACGAUGCGUAGCCGACCUGAGAGGGUGAUCGGCCACACUGGGAAUGAGACACGGCCCAGACUCCUACGGGAGGCAGCAGUAGGGAAUCUUCCGCAAUGGACGAAAGUCUGACGGAGCAACGCCGCGUGAGUGAUGAAGGCUUUCGGGUCGUAAAACUCUGUUGUUAGGGAAGAACAAGUGCUAGUUGAAUAAGCUGGCACCUUGACGGUACCUAACCAGAAAGCCACGGCUAACUACGUGCCAGCAGCCGCCGUAA
rnacentral:rRNA from 1 species